GUUUUGCGUACCUCCCCCAGGGCCAACUCAGUUCUAGAGUUACGCCUCCCACUUCCAACGUCUUGGGGAAACUGCCAGGGUAAAACAGAUGUGCCGGAGUCCCUUGAAAGCAGCUGACCAGAGCCGAUGGAGGCAGUGAUUGACUGGCAGAGCAGUCGACGGGACGGGAAGACCUUGGCUCCAGCCUCCCGGCUCUGAAAUCUCUCAACUAUCUUCAGAAGCAUGCCCCUAGGCCACAAACUAAGUGCUCCAUCAGCAGUCACACUGAACUUAGAAAAGGAGAGCAAGGAACAUGGACGAAUGAUCCGGUCAGGAGCUAGGAUGGAAUUAAGCAGCCCGCACAUUCUGUCGCUCCACCAAGGAAACCUCGGGAACAGAGGCAACCAACAGGCAGGAGUCACGGAACCAUCUGGAGAGUCGUGGGGAGGGCCUCAGAAGGCAUGGUCCAGCACUGGAACUGGACUUUCUGGGAGACCCUCGGACCGACAGGACCUUCAGAGGCUCUUCCGACAGGAAGUUCAGUGCUAGCAAUUCCUGUCUCAUGGAACUCUACAGAAAAGGAUGUCAGCAGCAGUGGGGAGACUUGGGAAUUCAACCUCUAGAGGAUUCUUUGAUAUAAGACUUCAUCAACUGAAAAUUUUUGUUUUAAAUUUGAGAACAAUGGUGGGCAAUUGGAAUUGAAAAAGCUACGGGUGUAGGAACAGUUGGACCCGCAGAUCUAAAGGUUUUUCUCCUCGAUCUCCCCCCGGUUGCUGCAGCCAUUUGCCUGGCCCUAUACUACUGCUUUCUUGUGUGGCCUCUGGCCCCAUGUUAUAAGUGCCUGUGAGUGUGUGUAUUGGUUUUUCCUGGGCGCCCCUCCCCACCCCUGCUCCCAAGCAAAUGUUCAUUUUCUGUGGGUGCUUCCAGCAAUUGCUAGGUAUUAUUUCUCUAUUUCCUUCCUGGGAGCAUAACUCCCACUUGGUUAUUUAUUUAUAGUAAGUAUCUGCCUCCCCCGCUAAUCUGUAGAGCAUUUUGGACAGGAACCAUGUCUACCGAUUCUUGUUACAGUAUACUCUCCCAAGUGCUUAGUACCGUACUCUGCACACAGUAGGCACUCAAUAAAUGUGAUUCAUUGAUUGAUUUGAUCCUUUCUCCGUUAAGAACAAGACACAAUCAUGCAGCAGCAUUCUGUAUGAGGCACGUUUAACUGUUUCACUAGCUCAUUUGCUUUAAGCAGAAAACUUCGACAUGGUGGAACAAGGGGUAAGUAUUAGUGUUGGCAUUUGGUUGUGGUAGCAUUUGACAGCCUUGUCCUAUUUCACCAGGGCCUGGCUAGUUGGCUUUUCCUUUUCCCAAAUACAAAACAAAAACCCUCAUACUUGUAUUUGUAAGAUUAUAUGAAUCUGAUCAGUAAAGG